rfam:Proteiniclasticum ruminis strain ML2 genome assembly, contig: Ga0073291_101
GGAGGAGUACCCAAGUGGCCAAAGGGGGCAGACUGUAAAUCUGUUGCAAGUUGCUUCAGUGGUUCGAAUCCACUCUCCUCCA